rnacentral:misc_RNA from 1 species
CCUGCCGCACCGCCAUAUCACAAUUAUUGUCCACGAUGAUUUGCAGCAACCUCACCAGAUGCUGAGGCGUGUAUUGAAACUGAUUAAGGCUUUGCUCGGCGGCUAUGCGUUCAUCGGGAUUGGGGCUGAGAAGCAGCUUGGAGGAUCAAAGCAAGGCUAGGGAGAUCCAUUAACAGAAUAUCAAGAAUCAAUAACUGGACAAUAAUUCAACCCGAAACCCGAAAUUCGAGAAUUUAGAUUGAUAUUGAAGGUAUCUAAACCCUAGCUCGAUCUCAACUGCAACCAGAAACAGCGUCUACUAGGGUUUAGAGAGAGAAAAAG